GGAGUACUUACUGCUUGGAGCUCGAUACUAUUUACUCUUUAGUGUCUACACACUGCGCAGUUGCGAGCAACCUAUUUGGAAACCGGUUUCUGAAGCUCCGCUUGAAUCACAGGUUGAGCUUUCUCGUAAGCUCGAGCACUGUUCCCUUUCAAUCUAGGGUUUUUCAGUAUUUCAGUAAUAUCAUUGCUGAUUUUACAUUUCAGUUCACUGCGACGAGCAAUGAACAAGGAAGCUACAUAUCCAAUUUAUAAUCUACAGAUUUUGGAUUCCCUUAGUGACAACUCCAUUGACGAGAUUUUGGAGAGCUGGAAUGGUUUUUGUGUGAGCACAGAAGUUCUUCUCAAGGACAGCGGAGAACUUUCGGUCGGAUCGGAGUUCGUUUCCCAUGUACAUGUACUCUGCAAGCAGGGCCUCUACUCGCUCCUUCAGGAUUACUUUCUUCGCUCUCUGGAGGAAACGUUUGAGAAAUAUGGUGCAUCAAAGUUUUGGCGGCAUUUUGAAGCUUAUGGAGACGUCGCCAUGCUAGAGAAGAAUAAAAUCCAUAUUCAAGCAGAUUGGUCCCAGCAAGUAUUAUGGAAGUCACUUGAAGAGAUAUGCUUAGAAAAAGAAUAUCUGGAAAAGUGCCUGUUAAUAUUAGUCAAUGCUUUACAGUCAUACAAGGAAAUCAUGUCAGGGGGAAGACCUAAUGCAGAUAUGGAAAAACUCCAUCUUCUUUCUAGAUACCAGUUAAUGGUUUCUUCAGUACUUAUGACAUCCCUUCCUCGCUGUUUUCCUGGGAUACUCCGCAUCUAUUUCAAGGAAAGAUUAGAAGAACUAAGUACAAUUAUGUCUGGAGACUAUGAGAAUGAUGCUGAUACCGAAGGCAUGGAUGCCAUGGAUUUAGAUGGAACAAGCAAAAACUCCUCAAGAGCCAGUGAAAUGGAUAUUGAUGAAAGUAAUCACAGGAGAAAAUUCUCUGAGAAUAACAAAUUGGUGAAAAACAUUGGAAAGGUUGUCCGUGAUCUUAGAACUCUCGGAUUUACAUCUAUGACUGAAGAUGCUUAUGCUUCUGCCAUAUUUUUACUUUUGAAGACCAAAGUUCAUAACUUGGCUGGCGAUGAUUACCGGAAUUCUGUUUUGCCAUCCAUUAAAGAGUGGAUUCAGGCUGUUCCACUCCAGUUCUUGUAUGCUCUUCUUUCUUAUCUUGGUGACUCAGUUACUUAUGACAGCCCUUCAUCGGGUCUCAAAUCACCCCUUGCUUCACACCCCUCUUCAUGCUUCUCUGGUAUUGAUGCUCCCUCUGAAGGACUCAUCAGAUGGCAGUUGCGCCUCGAGUAUUUUGCGUAUGAAACAUUGCAAGAUCUAAGAAUAGCUAAGCUUUUUGAGAUUAUUGUGGAUUAUCCUGACAGCUCUCCUGCAAUUGAAGACUUAAAGCAGUGCCUAGAGUAUACUGGGCAACACUCAAAGCUUGUUGAUUCUUUUAUCUCUGCACUGCGAUAUCGAUUGCUUACUGCUGGCGCUUCAACUAAUGACAUAUUGCACCAAUAUGUUUCAACUAUCAAAGCACUCCGGACAAUAGAUCCAACUGGCGUUUUCCUUGAAGCAGUAGGUGAACCAAUAAGAGAGUAUUUACGGGGAAGAAAAGAUACCACCAAAUGCAUUGUGACUAUGCUUACAGAUGGGACUGGAGGAAAUCCAAAUGGGAGUGGAAAUACUGGGGAUAGCCUCCUUGAAGAGUUGAAUAGAGAUGAAGAAAAUCAAGAGAAUGCUGGUUGUGACGAUGAUUUCAACACUGAUGACAAGCAAUCUUGGACCAAUUCUGAAUGCUGGGAACCUGAUCCAGUAGAGGCAGAUCCAUUGAAGGGUAGUAGGAAUAGAAGGAAGAUUGACAUGCUUGGAAUGAUAGUUGGCAUAAUCGGCUCAAAGGACCAGCUAGUUAAUGAGUAUCGUGUUAUGCUGGCUGAAAAGCUUCUUAACAAAACUGAUUAUGACGUAGACUCAGAAAUUCGUACUUUGGAACUACUAAAAAUACACUUUGGAGAGAGCAGCAUGCAAAGAUGUGAAAUUAUGCUGAAUGAUGUGAUUGACUCAAAAAGGACAAACACAAAUAUCAAAGCAACCACAAAACAGCCAUCACAGAGAGGUGUCGAGCAAGUAGAAACUGGGGUAUCUCUUGAUCUUCUUGAUGCUACAAUCAUAUCCUCAAACUUUUGGCCACCAAUUCAGGAAGAAUCCCUUAACAUACCUGGGCCCUUGGACCAACUUCUCUCUGAUUAUGCAAGAAGGUUUAAUGAAAUCAAGACGCCUCGCAAGCUGCUGUGGAAGAAAAAUCUUGGUACCGUUAAGCUGGCAUUGCAAUUUGAUGAUCGGGUAGUUCAGUUCACAGUGACUCCGAUUCAGGCAGCAAUCAUCAUGCAAUUUCAAGAACAAACGAGCUGGACCUCCAGGAACCUUGCAGCUAUUAUUGGGGUACCUGUGGACAUACUUAAUCGGAGGAUAAACUUCUGGAUAAGCAAAGGAAUCCUUGUAGAAUCAGGGGUUGCAGAGUCUGAUGAUCACAUAUUUACCCUUGUGGAUGGAGUGGUUGAUUCAAAUAAAAAUGGCAUUAACAGUGGGGCCUGUGAGGAGCUUCUAAUGGGUGAUGAGGAGGGAGAAAGAUCCGUGGCCUCUGUUGAGGAGCAACUACUGAAAGAGAUGACUGUAUAUGAGAAAUUUAUUAUGGGGAUGCUUACUAAUUUUGGCAGCAUGGCAUUGGAUCGGAUCCAUAAUACUUUAAAGAUGUUCUGUGUUGCCGAUCCUCCGUAUGACAAGUCACUCCAACAGCUGCAAAAUUUCUUAUCUGGUCUUGUAUCAGAGGAGAAGCUUGAGCUACGAGAUGGCAUGUACUUUCUGAAGAAGCAGUGACAGAGAGAAGGUUGCAGUAAUAUUACACUGAGAGUGGAGAUUCAAGAAAUUUCAAAAGGCUGGGAUUUCAGGUUUUGGAAGAAGUGCUUUGGUACCGUUGAUUUGAGAUAUCUGGCAUUAUACUGACUUUCAUCCCUAGAUUCUGGUUGCUUAUGCUUCUACGGAUUAUGAAUGCAGUGAUCAAUGAUGUGGAAAGCAAGGACAGUUUGUAGGAAGGUGGCUUAAUUCCUAGCUGCUACAUGCCAUUAUAGUUCAUAUUACAUAAAUCCUUAGGAUUCCAUCUGGUUUGAUGUUAAGUGUUGUCAAGUAAAUAUUAUAUGAGAUAAAAACCAAUAACAGAAAUAAUAAUAAUAAUGUAGAUAAUAAGUUUGUGAAAA